rnacentral:rRNA from 1 species
UACGGGGGGGGCAAGCGUUGUUCGGAAUUACUGGGCGUAAAGGGCUCGUAGGCGGCCAACUAAGUCGGAUGUGAAAUCCCCAGGCUUAACCUGGGAACUGCAUCCGAUACUGGAUGGCUUGAAUCCGGGAGAGGGAUGCAGAAUUCCAGGUGUAGCGGUGAAAUGCGUAGAUAUCUGGAGGAAUACCGGUGGCGAAGGCAGGUCUCUGGGCCGGUACUGACGCUGAGGAGCGAAAGCGUGGGGAGCGAACAGG